rnacentral:rRNA from 1 species
UACAGAGGGUGCAAGCGUUGUUCGGAAUUAUUGGGCGUAAAGCGCGUGUAGGCGGCUUGGCAAGUCGGGUGUGAAAGCCCUCAGCUCAACUGAGGAAGUGCGCCCGAAACUGCUUUGCUUGAGUGCUGGAGAGGGUCGCGGAAUUCCCCAAGUAGAGGUGAAAUUCGUAGAUAUGGGGAGGAACACCGGUGGCGAAGGCGGCGACCUGGACCGGUAUUGACGCUGAGGCGCGAAAGCCAGGGGAGCAAACGGG